UACGUAGGUGACCAGCGUUGUCCGGAUUUACUGGGCGUAAAGAGCGCGCAGGCGGUCGUUCAAGUCGCGUGUGAAAGCCCCCGGCUCAACUGGGGAGGGUCACUGUCGAUACUGAUCGACUCGAAGGCAGGAGAGGGAAGUGGAAUUCCCGGUGUAGUGGUGAAAUGCGUAGAUAUCGGGAGGAACACCAGUGGCGAAGGCGG
rnacentral:rRNA from 1 species